GUACUUGCUUUGGCCGUACAUAUACUAAAAUUGGGAACGAUACAGAGAAGAAUUAGCAUGGACCCCGCACAAGCAUGACACGCAAUAUUGUGAAGCGUCCCAACAUUUU